rnacentral:lncRNA from 1 species
AGGAGAGGCAGUGAGGCACGAAUGUCUCAAAAUCAUCCUAGACAGGAGUGUUAUUAAUUUGAUCCCAGAUAAUUUUAGCUGGUGUCAGCACUAAAUUGAACUCACAGUGCCUUCUCUGCAUCGCCUUGUGAAUGAUGAAUCGAGCCACUCUCUUUCUCUGAAACCCAAAAUUGCUUCUGUG